GGAAUCUUAUGAAACUUACAAAUAUCAGGAGAGCGAGGACAACUUUUUACUGCUCCCUUGCAACUCUUAAUGAGGAGGUAGUUUUAGAGGUCAAAAGCUAUAACAAUACUUGAAACUACACAGGAGAAGGCCUGUGAUAUUCCAGGAUUUAACAGAAAAGCUCAACCAUCACCUAUCAGAAAAUCAAACACUGUAUCAGCUGGAGACACAUAAAAUUCAUAGGAAACAGAAGAUCAGCAUAAAUUAUCAGUGAACAAGGUAACCAGUAAUAGCUUUUCUUACUGAUAAAUCAUAGUGUGGUGCAAUACUUUGAAGAUGACACAACUGGUCUUCUAGGAACAAAUUCUGCCCUCCCUCCCUCUCUGUGGCUGCAGAAGUUCCCAGAUGCAGUGAAGAUCUGCUGUGAAAGCUUUAUGGAAAUCUAUAAGAAAUCUACAGUGCCAGAGUGUUGAGGAAAGACUGAUAGAUCUGCUGCUGUGUGUUUCCAACAGCCAGUGAUCCCCUGUGAAGUGGCAUCACAAGAGUGACCAGGCGCAUGGAAGGAUUACUUCUCGUCUUACCUUCACAGAACCUCCCUAUAACUAAGCCUGGCUACGCAGAGUUGGUAGUUAGGAAUGGAGAA